rnacentral:sRNA from 1 species
GAUGUCAGGGUCAAAAGGCCUAAGCCCACAUGAGCUUGCUCAUAAGUGGGCGAAGGGCCUUGGGACCCGCCCCGAUAUUCGCAUAAAAGUGGGAUGUAUAUCCCACUUUUAUGCGAAUAUUGGGCAGGAUUGCGUGAGUGUACAGCACAGAGCAAUCCGUAGACAUC